rnacentral:rRNA from 1 species
GAUGAACGCUGGCGGCGUGCCUAAUACAUGCAAGUCGAGCGAACAGACGAGGAGCUUGCUCCUCUGACGUUAGCGGCGGACGGGUGAGUAACACGUGGAUAACCUACCUAUAAGACUGGGAUAACUUCGGGAAACCGGAGCUAAUACCGGAUAAUAUAUUGAACCUCAUGGUUCAAUAGUGAAAGACGGUUUUGCUGUCACUUAUAGAUGGAUCCGCGCCGCAUUAGCUAGUUGGUAAGGUAACGGCUUACCAAGGCAACGAUGCGUAGCCGACCUGAGAGGGUGAUCGGCCACACUGGAACUGAGACACGGUCCAGACUCCUACGGGAGGCAGCAGUAGGGAAUCUUCCGCAAUGGGCGAAAGCCUGACGGAGCAACGCCGCGUGAGUGAUGAAGGUCUUCGGAUCGUAAAACUCUGUUAUUAGGGAAGAACAAAUGUGUAAGUAACUAUGCACGUCUUGACGGUACCUACACAGAAAGCCACGGCUAACUACGUG